CGUCAUCCCCGGGGGAGCGCCGCGCCGCGCUUGAGAGGGAGGCAGGAGCCUCCGACCCGCCGAACCUGAUCCGGUUGACACCGGCGUAGGGAGUGGAAGCGGCCUUCCG
rnacentral:ncRNA from 2 species